GGGAGUUGGCAGAUUGUAAUGUGAUUAGCUUGAAACUAAGAUGAUGCAGGUUUAAUUCCUGUACUUCCUU
rnacentral:tRNA from 1 species